rnacentral:rRNA from 1 species
GACGAACGCUGGCGGCGUGCUUAACACAUGCAAGUCGAACGGAAAGGCCCUGCUUUUGUGGGGUGCUCGAGUGGCGAACGGGUGAGUAACACGUGAGUAACCUGCCCUUGACUUUGGGAUAACUUCAGGAAACUGGGGCUAAUACCGCAUAGGAGCUCCUGCUGCAUGGUGGGGGUUGGAAAGUUUCGGCGGUUGGGGAUGGACUCGCGGCUUAUCAGCUUGUUUGUGGGGUAGUGGCUUACCAAGGCUUUGACGGGUAGCCGGCCUGAGAGGGUGACCGGCCACAUUGGGACUGAGAGACGGCCCAGACUCCUACGGGAGGCAGCAGUGGGGAAUAUUGCACAAUGGGCGGAAGCCUGAUGCAGCAACGCCGCGUGCGGGAUGACGGCCUUCGGGUUGUAAACCGCUUUCGCCUGUGACGAAGCGUGAGUGACGGUAAUGGGUAAAGAAGCACCGGCUAACUACGUG